rnacentral:rRNA from 1 species
GAUGAACGCUGGCGGCGUGCCUAAUACAUGCAAGUCGAGCGAAUGGAUUAAGAGCUUGCUCUUAUGAAGUUAGCGGCGGACGGGUGAGUAACACGUGGGUAACCUGCCCAUAAGAAUGGGAUAACUCCGGGAAACCGGGGCUAAUACCGGAUAACAUUUUGAACCGCAUGGUUCGAAAUUGAAAGGCGGCUUCGGCUGUCACUUAUGGAUGGACCCGCGUCGCAUUAGCUAGUUGGUGAGGUAACGGCUCACCAAGGCAACGAUGCGUAGCCGACCUGGGAGGGUGAUCGGCCACACUGGGACUGAGACACGGCCCAGACUCCUACGGGAGGCAGCAGUAGGGAAUCUUCCGCAAGGGACGAAAGUCUGACGGAGCAACGCCGCGUGAGUGAUGAAGGCUUUCGGGUCGUAAAACUCUGUUGUUAGGGAAGAACAAGUGCUAGUUGAAUAAGCUGGCACCUUGACGGUACCUAACCAGAAAGCCACGGCUAACUACGUGCCAGCCGCCGCCGUAA